GGCACUCAGACAAGUGAUGGUUCCCUUGGGAUCACCCAAGGGAUGAAAAGGGAACACGGUGAGGUUUGCCCCGCGCGCCAAGUCCGUGACUGCCCCCGCAACUGUAAGCGGUGAGCGAAGCCAAAUGUCCACUGGCCGAAAAGGUCGGGAAGGAUGGCCAAGCAUCGACCCGCAAGUCAGGAGACCUGCCAUCUUAUGUUCAACCAAC
rnacentral:ncRNA from 1 species